UUCUCAAUGUUUCUUCCUACUAUUUUUUUAACUAAUACCUUUGCUGAAUGUGAAGUCUACCAGUGAUAAAUUGUCUUUAUUUUGCAUUUAUUUCAUGCUUUCUUUCAUUAUAUUUGUGCACAUGCAAAUAUUCACCAUCUGUUGCUUUUCUGGUUCUUUAGGGACAAGUCCCAUACAUAGAUUUGAACUGGAUAUUUUUGUUUACCUCAGUCUCUUUACUACUGCUAUUUUUGAGUUGUAAGACUUAUUAAGAUAUGGGAAAUGCAAC
rnacentral:lncRNA from 1 species